ACCUAACCCGACGGGAAGGGGGGUCCGCCUUACCGACGGUAGGAUUCAUGACUGGGGUG
rnacentral:rRNA from 1 species